UGGGGAAUAUUGGACAAUGGGCGGAAGCCUGAUCCAGCAACGCCGCGUGAGGGAUGACGGCCUUCGGGUUGUAAACCUCUUUCAGCACCGACGAAGCGAGAGUGACGGUAGGUGCAGAAGAAGGACCGGCCAACUACGUGCCAGCAGCCGCGGUAAUACGUAGGGUCCGAGCGUUGUCCGGAAUUAUUGGGCGUAAAGGGCUCGUAGGCGGUUUGUCGCGUCGGGAGUGAAAACACCGGGCUUAACUCGGUGCUUGCUUUCGAUACGGGCAGACUGGAGGUAUGCAGGGGAGAGCGGAAUUCCUGGUGUAGCGGUGAAAUGCGCAGAUAUCAGGAGGAACACCGGUGGCGAAGGCGGUUCUCUGGGCAUUACCUGACGCUGAGGAGCGAAAGUGUGGGGAGCGAACAGG
rnacentral:rRNA from 1 species